rnacentral:rRNA from 1 species
ACGGAAGGCAGCAGUGGGGAAUAUUGCACAAUGGGCGCAAGCCUGAUGCAGCGAUGCCGCGUGAGGGAAGAAGGUUUUCGGAUUGUAAACCUCUGUCAACAGGGACGAUAAUGACUGUACCUGUGAAGGAAGCUCCGGCUAACUACGUGCCAGCAGCCGCGGUAAUACGUAGGGAGCAAGCGUUAUCCGGAAUUACUGGGUGUAAAGGGAGUGUAGGCGGGACUGUAAGUCAGAUGUGAAAUAUGCCGGCUCAACUGGCAGACUGCAUUUGAAACUGCGGUUCUUGAGUGAAGUAGAGGUAAGCGGAAUUCCUAGUGUAGCGGUGAAAUGCAUAGAGAUCGGGAGGAACACCAGUGGCGAAGGCGGCCUGCUGGACAUUAACUGACGCUGAGGCGCGAAAGUGUGGGGAGCAAACAGGAUUAGAUACCCUGGUA